GUGGGGAAUAUUGGACAAUGGGCGCAAGCCUGAUCCAGCCAUGCCGCGUGAGUGAUGAAGGCCUUAGGGUUGUAAAGCUCUUUCAGUGGGGACGAUAAUGACGGUACCCACAGAAGAAGCCCCGGCUAACUUCAUGCCAGCAGCCGCGGUAAUACGAAGGGGGCUAGCGUUGUUCGGAUUUACUGGGCGUAAAGCGCACGUAGGCGGAUCGUUAAGACGGGGGUGAAAUCCUGGAGCUCAACUCCAGAACUGCCUUCGAUACUGGAGAUCUUGAGUCAGGAAGAGGUGAGUGGAACGCCUAGUGGAGAGGUGGAAUUCGUAGAUAUUAGGAAGAACACCAGUGGCGAAGGCGGCUCACUGGUCCGGUACUGACGCUGAGGUGCGAAAGCGUGGGGAGCAAACAGGAUUAGAAACCCUUGUAGUCC
rnacentral:rRNA from 1 species